rnacentral:rRNA from 1 species
AGGUUAAGUGAAUAAGGGCGCACGGUGGAUGCCUUGGCACUAGGAGCCGAUGAAGGACGGGACUAACACCGAUAUGCUUUGGGGAGCUGUACGUAAGCUAUGAUCCAGAGAUUUCCGAAUGGGGGAACCCAGCAUCUUUAAUAGGAUGUUACGAUUGUGUGAAUACAUAGCACAUUCGAGGUAGACGCAGAGAACUGAAACAUCUAAGUACCUGCAGGAAGAGAAAGAAAAUUCGAUUCCCUGAGUAGCGGCGAGCGAAACGGGAAAAGCCCAAACCAACAAGCUUGCUUGUUGGGGUUGUAGGACUCCAAUAUGGUCGUUCUUUCAGAUAGUCGAAUGACUUGGAAAAGUCAGUCAAAGAGGGUAAAAACCCCGUAGACGAAAUGUGGAAGACACCUAGGAGGAUCCUGAGUACGGCGGAACACGAGAAAUUCCGUCGGAAUCCGGGAGGACCAUCUCCCAAGGCUAAAUACUCCCUAGUGACCGAUAGUGAACCAGUACCGUGAGGGAAAGGUGAAAAGCACCCCGGAAGGGGAGUGAAAUAGAACCUGAAACCGUGUGCCUACAACAAGUCAAAGCCCGUUAAUGGGUGAUGGCGUGCCUUUUGUAGAAUGAACCGGCGAGUUACGAUUGCAUGCGAGGUUAAGUUGAAGAGACGGAGCCGCAGCGAAAGCGAGUCUGAAUAGGGCGUUUGAGUAUGUAGUCGUAGACCCGAAACCAUGUGAUCUACCCAUGUCCAGGUUGAAGGUGCGGUAAAACGCACUGGAGGACCGAACCCACGUACGUUGAAAAGUGCGGGGAUGAGGUGUGGGUAGCGGAGAAAUUCCAAACGAACUUGGAGAUAGCUGGUUCUCUCCGAAAUAGCUUUAGGGCUAGCCUCGGAAUUGAGAAUGAUGGAGGUAGAGCACUGUUUGGACUAGGGGCCCAUCUCGGGUUACCGAAUUCAGAUAAACUCCGAAUGCCAUUCAUUCAUAUCCGGGAGUCAGACUGUGAGUGAUAAGAUCCAUAGUCGAAAGGGAAACAGCCCAGACCACCAGCUAAGGUCCCAAAAUAUAUGUUAAGUGGAAAAGGAUGUGGGGUUGCACAGACAACUAGGAUGUUGGCUUAGAAGCAGCCACCAUUUAAAGAGUGCGUAAUAGCUCACUAGUCGAGUGACCCUGCGCCGAAAAUGUACCGGGGCUAAACAUAUUACCGAAGCUGUGGAGUACACCUUUAGGUGUAUUGGUAGGAGAGCGUUCUAAGGGCGUCGAAGGCAGAUCGUGAGGACUGCUGGAGCGCUUAGAAGUGAGAAUGCCGGUAUGAGUAGCGAAAGACAGGUGAGAAUCCUGUCCACCGAAUGACUAAGGUUUCCUGGGGAAGGCUCGUCCGCCCAGGGUUAGUCGGGACCUAAGCCGAGGCCGAUAGGCGUAGGCGAUGGAUAACAGGUUGAUAUUCCUGUACCCGUUGUUUUUGUUUGAGCAAUGGAGGGACGCAGG